rnacentral:rRNA from 1 species
AUUGAACGCUGGCGGCAUGCUUUACACAUGCAAGUCGAGCGGCAGCGCGGGGCAACCUGGCGGCGAGCGGCGAACGGGUGAGGAAUGCAUCGGAACGUACCCGAGAGUGGGGGAUAACGCCGCGAAAGCGGCGCUAAUACCGCAUAUUCUCUUAGGAGGAAAGUGGGGGACCGCAAGGCCUCACGCUCACGGAGCGGCCGAUGUCCGAUUAGCUAGUUGGUGGGGUAAAGGCUUACCAAGGCGACGAUCGGUAGCUGGUCUGAGAGGAUGAUCAGCCACACUGGGACUGAGACACGGCCCAGACUCCUGCGGGAGGCAGCAGUGGGGAAUUUUGGAUAAUGGGGGCAACCCUGAUCCAGCCAUGCCGCGUGAGUGAAGAAGGCCUUCGGGUUGUAAAGCUCUUUCGGUGGGAACGAAACGGUUACGACGAAUACUCGUGACUACUGACGGUACUCACAGAAGAAGCACCGGCUAACUACGUGCCAGCAGCCGCCGUAACAC